rnacentral:rRNA from 1 species
CAGAGGUCCCAAGCGUUGUUCGGAUUCACUGGGCGUAAAGGGUGCGUAGGUGGCGAGGUAAGUCGGAUGUGAAAGCUCGGAGCUCAACUCCGAAAUGGCAUUGGAAACUACCUUGCUCGAGGGUUGGAGGGGGGACUGGAAUUCUCGGUGUAGCAGUGAAAUGCGUAGAUAUCGAGAGGAACACCAGUGGCGAAGGCGAGUCCCUGGACAACUCCUGACACUGAGGCACGAAAGCUAGGGGAGCAAACAGGAUUAGAUACCCUGGUAGUCCUAGCCGUAAACGGUGCAUGUUUGCUGUAAAAGGAAUCGACCCCUUUUGUGGCGUAGCCAACGCGUUAAACAUGCCGCCUGGGAAGUACGGUCGCAAGAUUA